rnacentral:rRNA from 1 species
CCCCAGGUCAGGCGGGACUACCCGCUGAGUUUAAGAAAAUAAAUAAGCGGAGGAGAAGAAACUUACGAGGAUUCCCCUAGUAACGGCGAGUGAACUGAGAGAUGCCCAGCUUGAGAAUCAAGCAGCCGCGCUGCUCGAAUUGUAGUCUAGAGAGGUGUCCUCAGCGACGGACCAGGCCCAAGUCCCCUAGAAAGGGGCGCCUGGGAGGGUGAGAGCCCUGUCUGGCCCAGACCCUAUCGCCCCACGAGGCGCUGUCAACGAGUCGGGUUGUUUGGGAAUGCAGCCCAAAUCAGGCGGUAAACUCUGUCCAAGGCUAAAUAUAGGCGAGAGACCAAUAGUGAACAAGUACUGCGAGGGAAAGAUGAAAAGGACUUUGAAAAGAGAGUCAAAGAGUGCUUGAAAUUGCCAGGAGGGAAUCGGAUGGUAGCCGACGAUGCGCCUUGGUUGUAUGCGGAACGGCUUCGGCUGGUCCGCCAAUUGGCUCAGGGCGUGGACUGUUGUUGGUCACGUCAGCAACUGAAUCCUGGGAGCACAGUGCCCCUGGUAGCCAUCGUCGGCGCAGCCGGUCACCACAUGCCUCUGGCGUGCCCCUCGAGGCACUGUGACGCAACGGCCUGCGGGCUCCCCAUCCAACCCGUCUUGAAACACGGACCAAGGAGUCUGACAUGCGUGCAAGUCGAUGAGUCCUAAAACCUGGGAUGCACAAGGAAGCUGACGAGUGGGAGGCCCUCGCGGGCAGCACCGCUAGCCGACCCUGAUCUUCUGUGAAGGGUUUGAGUUGGAGCACGCCUAUCGGGACCCGAAAGAUGGUGAACUAUGCCUGAGCAGGGUGAAGCCAGAGGAAACUCUAGUGAAGGCUCGAAGCGAUACUGACGUGUAAAUCAUUCGUCUGACUUGGGUAUAGGGGCGAAAGACUAAUCGAACCAUCUAGUAGCUGGUUCCCUCCGAAGUUUCCCUC